rnacentral:rRNA from 1 species
AACGAACGCUGGCGGCAGGCUUAACACAUGCAAGUCGAGCGAAGACUUCGGUCUUAGCGGCGGACGGGUGAGUAACGCGUGGGAACAUACCCUUUGCUACGGAACAGUCCCGGGAAACUGGGUUUAAUACCGUAUAAGCCCUUACGGGGAAAGAUUUAUCGCCGAAAGAUCGGCCCGCGUCUGAUUAGCUAGUUGGUGAGGUAAUGGCUCACCAAGGCGACGAUCAGUAGCUGGUCUGAGAGGAUGAUCAGCCACAUUGGGACUGAGACACGGCCCAAACUCCUACGGGAGGCAGCAGUGGGGAAUAUUGGACAAUGGGCGCAAGCCUGAUCCAGCCAUGCCGCGUGAGUGAUGAAGGCCUUAGGGUUGUAAAGCUCUUUCAGCUGGGAAGAUAAUGACGGUACCAGCAGAAGAAGCCCCGGCUAACUCCGUGCCAGCAGCCGCCGUAAUAC